GGCGUGAGGGUGCUAAGGUAGCGAAAUUCCUUGCCUUUUAAUUGUAGGCCUGCAUGAAUGGCUCGACGAGGGUUUAACUGUCUCUAGUUUUAGAUUUUAAAUUGGAUUAAAGGUGAAGAUACCUUUAUAAAAAAGUCAGACAAGAAGACCCCGUGCAACUUUUAAAAUCAGCUUAUUAAGAAAUCUUAGAUUUUUAGGUGGGGCGCCUAUUAAGUAAGUGUAACCUUUUUAACUGCAAAAAACUCUCAGGUAUAGACCCGGUAACUACCGAUCAUAGGAGAAGUUACGCCGGGGAUAACAGGCUAAUUCACUAGUAGAGAACGUAUUGGCUAGUGAGAUUGGCACCUCGAUGUUGAAUCAGGGAUGAUACCUUUAAGGCGUAGAAGCUUUAAAAGUAGGUCUGUUCGACCUUUAAUACCCUACGUGAUCUGG
rnacentral:rRNA from 1 species